UACGGGGGGAGCAAGCGUUGUUCGGAUUUACUGGGCGUAAAGGGCGCGUAGGCGGUCAGCACAAGUCAGUUGUGAAAUCUCCGGGCUUAACUCGGAAAGGUCAACUGAUACUGUGCGACUAGAGUGCGGAAGGGGCAACUGGAAUUCUCGGUGUAGCGGUGAAAUGCGUAGAGAUGUGGAGGAACACCGAUGGCGAAGGCAGCCCCCUGGGUCAAGAUUGACGCUCAUGCACGAAAGCGUGGGGAGCAAACAGG
rnacentral:rRNA from 1 species